rnacentral:piRNA from 1 species
UCCUUUCUCGGUACCUCUGUGCCCCUCC